CCUACGGGAGGCAGCAGUGAGGAAUAUUGGUCAAUGGGCGCGAGCCUGAACCAGCCAAGUCGCGUGAGGGAAGACGGUCCUCUGGAUUGUAAACCUCUUUUGUCGGGGAGCAAAAGACGCCACGCGUGGCGUUCCGAGAGUACCCGAAGAAAAAGCAUCGGCUAACUCCGUGCCAGCAGCCGCGGUAAUACGGAGGAUGCGAGCGUUAUCCGGAUUUAUUGGGUUUAAAGGGUGCGCAGGCGGAAGAUGAAGUCAGCGGUAAAAUUGAGAGGCUCAACCUCUUCGAGCCGUUGAAACUGGUUGGCUUGAGGGAGUGAGAAGUAUGCGGAAUGCGUGGUGUAGCGGUGAAAUGCAUAGAUAUCACGCAGAACUCCGAUUGCGAAGGCAGCAUACCGGCGCUCAACUGACGCUCAUGCACGAAAGCGUGGGUAUCGAACAGGAUUAGAUACCCCAGUAGUC
rnacentral:rRNA from 1 species